GAUGAACGCUGGCGGCGUGCCUAAUACAUGCAAGUCGAGCGAACGGACGAGAAGCUUGCUUCUCUGAUGUUAGCGGCGGACGGGUGAGUAACACGUGGAUAACCUACCUAUCAGACUGGGAUAACUUCGGGAAACCGUAGCUAAUACCGGAUAAUAUUUUGAACCGCAUGGUUCAAAAGUGAAAGACGGUCUUGCUGUCACUUAUAGAUGGAUCCGCGCUGCAUUAGCUAGUUGGUAAGGUAACGGCUUACCAAGGCAACGAUGCAUAGCCGACCUGAGAGGGUGAUCGGCCACACUGGAACUGAGACACGGUCCAGACUCCUACGGGAGGCAGCAGUAGGGAAUCUUCCGCAAUGGGCGAAAGCCUGACGGAGCAACGCCGCGUGAGUGAUGAAGGUCUUCGGAUCGUAAAACUCUGUUAUUAGGGAAGAACAUAUGUGUAAGUAACUGUGCACAUCUUGACGGUACCUAAUCAGAAAGCCACGGCUAACUACGCG
rnacentral:rRNA from 1 species